rnacentral:miRNA from 1 species
GAAUGUAACUGGACCCAGCCACCUU